rnacentral:rRNA from 1 species
GUGACCCCAGGAUGGGCGAGGCCACCCGCG